rnacentral:tRNA from 2 species
GGGCCGUUAGCUCAGUAGGUAGAGCAGCUGACUCUUAAUCAGCGGGUCGCAGGUUCGAUCCCUGCACGGCCCACCA